rnacentral:rRNA from 1 species
UUAAGCGACUAAGCGUACACGGUGGAUGCCCUGGCAGUCAGAGGCGAUGAAGGACGUGCUAAUCUGCGAAAAGCGCCGGCGAGGUGAUAUGAACCUUUGACCCGGCGAUGUCCGAAUGGGGAAACCCAGUGCAAUUCGUUGCACUAUCGUUAACUGAAUACAUAGGUUAACGAGGCGAACCGGGGGAACUGAAACAUCUAAGUACCCCGAGGAAAAGAAAUCAACCGAGAUUCCCCCAGUAGCGGCGAGCGAACGGGGAGGAGCCCAGAGUCUGAAUCAGCGUGUGUGUUAGUGGAACGGUCUGGAAAGUCCGGCGAUACAGGGUGACAGCCCCGUACACGAAAGCACACAGGCUGUGAACUCGAAGAGUAGGGCGGGACACGUGGUAUCCUGUCUGAAUAUGGGGGGACCAUCCUCCAAGGCUAAAUACUCCUGACUGACCGAUAGUGAACCAGUACCGUGAGGGAAAGGCGAAAAGAACCCCGGCGAGGGGAGUGAAAAAGAACCUGAAACCGUGUACGUACAAGCAGUGGGAGCACCCUUCGGGGUGUGACUGCGUACCUUUUGUAUAAUGGGUCAGCGACUUAUAUUCUGUAGCAAGGUUAACCGAAUAGGGGAGCCGAAGGGAAACCGAGUCUUAACUGGGCGUUAAGUUGCAGGGUAUAGACCCGAAACCCGGUGAUCUAGCCAUGGGCAGGUUGAAGGUUGGGUAACACUAACUGGAGGACCGAACCGACUAAUGUUGAAAAAUUAGCGGAUGACCUGUGGCUGGGGGUGAAAGGCCAAUCAAACCGGGAGAUAGCUGGUUCUCCCCGAAAGCUAUUUAGGUAGCGCCUCGUGAACUCAUCUUCGGGGGUAGAGCACUGUUUCGGCUAGGGGGUCAUCCCGACUUACCAACCCGAUGCAAACUGCGAAUACCGAAGAAUGUUAUCACGGGAGACACACGGCGGGUGCUAACGUCCGUCGUGAAGAGGGAAACAACCCAGACCGCCAGCUAAGGUCCCAAAGUCAUGGUUAAGUGGGAAACGAUGUGGGAAGGCCCAGACAGCCAGGAUGUUGGCUUAGAAGCAGCCAUCAUUUAAAGAAAGCGUAAUAGCUCACUGGUCGAGUCGGCCUGCGCGGAAGAUGUAACGGGGCUAAACCAUGCACCGAAGCUGCGGCAGCGACGCUUAUGCGUUGUUGGGUAGGGGAGCGUUCUGUAAGCCGUCGAAGGUGUGCUGUGAGGCAUGCUGGAGGUAUCAGAAGUGCGAAUGCUGACAUAAGUAACGAUAAAGCGGGUGAAAAGCCCGCUCGCCGGAAGACCAAGGGUUCCUGUCCAACGUUAAUCGGGGCAGGGUGAGUCGACCCCUAAGGCGAGGCCGAAAGGCGUAGUCGAUGGGAAACAGGUUAAUAUUCCUGUACUUGGUGUUACUGCGAAGGGGGGACGGAGAAGGCUAUGUUAGCCGGGCGACGGUUGUCCCGGUUUAAGCAUGUAGGCGGAGGUUCCAGGUAAAUCCGGUACCUUUUAACGCUGAGGUGUGAUGACGAGGCACUACGGUGCUGAAGUAACAAAUGCCCUGCUUCCAGGAAAAGCCUCUAAGCAUCAGGUAACACGAAAUCGUACCCCAAACCGACACAGGUGGUCAGGUAGAGAAUACCAAGGCGCUUGAGAGAACUCGGGUGAAGGAACUAGGCAAAAUGGUGCCGUAACUUCGGGAGAAGGCACGCUGACAUGUAGGUGAAGCCCCUGCGGGUGGAGCUGAAGUCAGUCGAAGAUACCAGCUGGCUGCAACUGUUUAUUAAAAACACAGCACUGUGCAAACACGAAAGUGGACGUAUACGGUGUGACGCCUGCCCGGUGCCGGAAGGUUAAUUGAUGGGGUUAUCCUUAGGGAGAAGCUCUUGAUCGAAGCCCCGGUAAACGGCGGCCGUAACUAUAACGGUCCUAAGGUAGCGAAAUUCCUUGUCGGGU